AAUGUCCAAACCAUCCUGAACAUGCCUGAUUCCGUUUGAUCUUGUCAGCUAAGCAGGGUUGGGCCUGGUUACUACUUGGAUGGGAGAAAUGUCCUGGCUAUAGCCACUA
rnacentral:rRNA from 1 species